rnacentral:rRNA from 1 species
UAGUCAUAUGCUUGUCUCAAAAACUAACCCAUGCAUGUCUAAUUAUAAAGGUUAUACAAUGAAACUGCAAAUGGCUCAUUAAAACAGUUAUAGUUUAUUUGAUAAUCAAAAUUACAUGGAUAACCGGGGUAAUUCUAAAGCUAAUACAUGCUGUUAACCCUGACUUCUAGGAAGGGCUGUAUUUAUUAAAUAACAAAUCAACAUUGGUGACAAAUCAUAAUAACUGAUCAAAUCGCAGGGGCCUUGCCCGCAAUAAAUCAUUCAAGUUUCUGCCCCAUCACCUUUCGAUGGUAGUGUAUUGAACUACCAUGGCUUUCACGGGUAACGAAGGAUUAGGGUUCAAUUCCGGAAAGGGAGCCUGAAAAACGGCUACCACAUCUAAGGAAGGCAGCAGGCGCGUAAAUUACCCAAUCCUGACUCAGGGAGGUAGUGACAAAAAAUAACGAACCGAGGUUAUGCCUCGGGUUUGCAAUGAGUAAAAUUUAAACCCCUUUACAAGGAUCAAUU